GGAUAGGAAAAAAAUAGCUUUUCUACCCCAAUUUAAAUAGGAAAAACCUCGAAAAAAAAUAAUAGUAAAAAUAGGAAAUAAAUACUUUGACAAAUAGGAAUUAAAUAGCCCAAUAAAAUAGGAAUUAAAUAGCAAUUAAAUAGUGUUUGGUUCUACAAGGGAUAAAACCAUAAACAUGGCGUGUAUAAACUGGGAGUGCAACACUCUCAGUAAUAUGGAAUUUUUAUUAAUAUCACGUGAUCAUAAUCAGCCAAAUAAAUUAUAAUUUAAUAAGGUGUCAUAUAAACCCCGCAGAAACGUUUUAACAUGCACUAGCUUAAUGAAUUUUCAGCAAAAUAGUCGGCUCAAGGCUAUACAUUUACAUUUUAAAUUAAGCUUAUAUAAAUAUAUUUACAAUAUAUAAUAUACAGUACAUUUAGAUUAAGGCCUGUUUUUGACGCCGAAUUUACUCGUUUAAUUUCUAUUUGAGAGUAAUGGGCAUUUGUUCUAUUCUACACAGUACAUUGAGUGUGACGUUGUCGACGUAAGCAGGUUUAUGGCAUAAUUCACAGAGAAUGACUCGCGUUAAAUUGAGAAGCAUUAAAUUUAACGAAUUAAUAAAUUCGACGGAAAUUCGAUGUCUCAAACAGACUUUAUAAUUUAAAUGGUCACUAAUCUAGAACAUUAUUUCCUGCAUUUCAAGUAACAUGUGGUAACUCCCAGGAGCACCUCCCCAAAGGCCUGGGGAAGAUACUUUCUCUUUCUAGUCUGGAAAUCGGAAAAUAAAACUCGUCCUUCAGAACAUGCCCUGACCACUGAACACAAAAUGAUUCAGCUUAUAAGACCACAUAACAUAGCCUAAUAGCCUCAGUAUUUGGAAAGAUUGGACGUAUCGUAUAUACUUAGCUAUUAAUGGCAAAACGUUUUUUUCAAAAACAUAUUUCUAAUAGUUCGAUAUAUUAAUAACUUACUGGUCGA